rnacentral:rRNA from 1 species
UAAUCUGCUAAAUAGUUGCAAUCACUUUGGUGGUUGAUUCAACUUCUUAGAGAGACUGUGUACGUUUAGUACGCGGAAGUUUGAGGCAAUAACAGGUCUGUGAUGCCCUUAGAUGUUCUGGGCCGCACGCGCGCUACACUGACGAAGGCAACAAGUAUUCACCUUGGCCGGAAGGCCUGGGUAAUCUUUUGAAACUUUGUCGUGCUGGGGAUAGUCCCUUGCAAUUAUUGGACUUAAACGAGGAAUUCCUAGUAAGUGCAAGUCAUCAGCUUGCGUUGAUUACGUCCCUGCCCUUUGUACACACCGCCCGUCGCU